rnacentral:lncRNA from 1 species
UAAGCUCGAGUUGCUAGGAUGGCGACAAAUGACGCGGCUAAUUCUCCUCGCCUGGCUGGUCCGCCUUUCAGAGUUAAUUAGCCUUCAUGAAUAUGGAUGCCACCGCCGAUUGAAGACGGUUGAGAGGUCGUAACCUGACCUCGGCGUUCCAUGAUGGUUUUCAUUUCCUGUAAUUUAGAGCUGGAAGCAUUUAUGGAAUAUCACAUGGUUUUCGUUUACACAGGAAAUCAGCUGCAGUUGUGAGAAGAUACUGAC